GCGACGUGACUGGGAGUAACCAUGCAUCUCAGUGGUGGUGCCCAAUCUCUCUCCCAACCACCCUGGGAGCAUUGGAGCUGGAACAAACAGCUGAGGUGGAAAGACCACAGAGUCAGUGGGGUAGCUAGAAAACCCCACUGACUUCUCCAAAGCCUCCAGGAAGACGGGUUCCUCCUCCUCCUCCCAGGGCUGAGGUCUCCCCACUGCAGAGCCACACUCCCAGGUAGACAGGAGAGGCCUCCCUGAGUCACAGCCACCCAGUGCCUCACCUCAUCGAUUCUGACCGUUUUAGAGUGAGGUGCAAUGAGCUGGUUGCAUCCAGGACUCUCCUGAGCUUGGAGACAUAGUACAAUCCCUUUGAUUUCCUGCUCAGAUCCGCCCUG
rnacentral:lncRNA from 1 species